UAGAGGUUUGAAUUUUCUCGGAGAAAGACGGGCCGGCCACGAGGAGAAAAGAAACAAGCCGCAGCAACAUCUAAGCCCUUGAAAGGAUCCUGAGAGAGGAGGGAAAGGGAAAACAGCAGCCUCCAGCCCACCACUUAUGUCUUCUGCCCCUUCCCACCUAUCUUGCCCACCCCACCAGCCCACGCUGCCUGGGACUUGAAAUCUGUGGCCAAAGGACCGUCACCACAUAACUUCAAAAAUAAUCAACCACCCUCCCUUCCCAAACCCACCCAAAUUCACUCAUCCAGAGUUUACUUUUUUUAAUCCACUCAGAACUUUUUUUCUACGACCCCCCUCCCUACAUGGAGUUGGUGGGGGGUGAAAUGAAUACUGAGUUGGCCUUUACUUUUUUUAAGGAGACUUUUUGAUCCAAUCAGGCCCCCCAAAUAAUUGAGUUUUGGGUCCUGGUUGGUUGUUUUAUUUUUUUCUCCAAAAUUUUAACCCCCUCCCCCGCUGAGCCCAAGGUGCUGACAUCGCAAAAAAAUUGGAUAAAAACUUCGAUCAUGGGUUCGGGUCCCAUGGACCCCAAAGAGCUUCUCAAGGGCCUGGAUAGCUUCCUUAACCGAGAUGGGGAAGUCAAGAGUGUGGAUGGGAUUUCAAAGAUCUUCAGUCUGAUAAAGGAAGCACGAAAGAGAGUGAGUCGAUGCACUUACUUGAACAUUCUCCUGCAGACCCGUUCACCAGAAAUAUUGGUCAAGUUUAUUGAUGUUGGUGGUUACAAGCUUCUUAACAAUUGGCUGACAUAUUCAAAGACAACCAACAACAUUCCCCUCUUGCAGCAAAUUCUACUGACCCUACGGCACCUACCACUCACUGUUGACCAUCUCAAGCAGAGCUCCGGAAAUUGGCCUCAGUCCUUGUCAGCGACUGGAUGGCUGUGAUCCGCUCCCAGAGCAGUACCCAGCCUGCUGAGAAAGAUAAGAAGAAACGGAAAGAAGAGGGAAAGAGUCGAACCACCCCUCCUGAGCGACCGUUGACUGAGGUGAAGACUGAGACUUGGGCUAAGGAGGCCCCGGAGAAGAAGAGGGAGAAGCCCAAGUCCCUCCGAACCACGGCGCCCAGUCACACCAAGUUCCGCUCUACUCGACUAGAGCUGGAGACCCCGUCUUUGGUGCCUGGAAGAAGAAUGCCUGUGCAGUGGUGGUUUCUGACAAGUACAACCUUAAACCCAUCCCCCUCAAGCGUCAGAGUUCCACAGCUGUCCCAGGAGAUGCUGCGCCCCCUGCAAAGAAGAAAUACAAGCCACUCAACACAACACCCAAUGCCACCAAAGAGAUCAAAGUGAAGAUCAUCCUGCCACAGCCUAUGGAGGGCCUGGGCUUUCUGGAUGCGCUCAAUUCAGCCCCUGUUCCAGGCAUCAAAAUUAAGAAGAAGAAGAAGGUGCUAUCACCCACAGUUGCCAAGCCAAGCCCAUUUGAAGGGAAAACGAGCACAGAACCUAGCACAGCCAAACCUUCCUCCCCAGAGCCAGCACCUCCUUCUGAGGCUAUGGAUACAGAACGUCCAGGGACCCCAGUUCCCCCUGUUGAAGUCCCAGGGCUCAUGGAUACUGCCCCUUUGGAGCCAGGAGCUCUGGAUGCAAAGCCAGUGGAGAGUCCCGGAGAUCCUAGCCAGCUGACCCGGAAAGGCAGGAAGAGGAAAACUGUGACCUGGCCUGAGGAGAGCAAACUGAGAGAGUAUUUCUAUUUUGAACUGGAUGAAACUGAACGAGUGAAUGUGAAUAAGAUCAAGGACUUCGGCCAGGCAGCUAAGCGAGAGAUACUGUCAGACCGACACGCGUUUGAGACGGCCCGGCGUCUGAGCCACAACAACAUGGAAGAGAAGGUGCCCUGGGUGUGCCCCCGGCCCCUGGUGCUGCCCUCGCCUCCUGUCACCCCUGGAAGCAACAGCCAGGAGCGGUACAUCCAGGCUGAGUGGGAGAAGGGGAUCCUUCAGGAGCUCUUCCUGAACCAGGAAAAUACUCACGAGCCUGAUCCUGAGCCCUAUGAGCCUAUCCCCCCAAAACUCAUCCCCCUAGAUGAGGAAUGUUCCAUGGAUGAGACCCCAUAUGUUGAGACCCUGGAGCCUGGGGGGACCGGUGGCUCACCCGAUGGGGCAGGAAGCUCCAAGUUGCCUCCUGUUCUGGCCAAUCUUAUGGGAAGCAUGGGUGCCGGGAAGAGCCCCCAGGGUCCGGGAGGAGGAGGCAUCAGUGUGCAGGAGAUCCUCACCUCCAUCAUGGGUAGCCCUAACAUUCAUCCCUCAGAGAAACUGCUGAAGCAACCAGACUAUUCAGACAAGACCAGGCAGAUGCUGGUGCCUCAUGGACUCUUAGGCCCUGGUCCCAUAGCCAAUGGUUUCCCACCGGGAGGCCCUGGGGGUCCCAAGGGCAUGCAGCACUCCCCCCCUGGGCCUGGCGGACCUAUGCCAGGUCCCCAUGGAGGCCCUGGGGGCCCUGGUGUGCCAGUGGGUCCACGUCUCCUGGGUCCCCCACCCCCUCCCCGGGGGUUGAUCCCUUCUGGGAUGGCCCAGGUGACCCCAUGCGGGGUGGCCUGAUGCGUGGGGGACCAGGUCCGGGGCCAUACCAUAGAGGCUGUGGUGGCCGAGGCGGGAGUGAACCACCUUCUCCUCCUCCUCCAUUCCGAGGGGCCAGAGGAGGUCACUCUGGAAGAGGACCUCCAAAUGGACAAGGGGGCCCUGGUGGGGGCUUGGUCGGAGGUGGUGGGCAUCAUCCCCAUGAAGGCCCUGGUGGGGGCAUGAGCAGUGGCAGUGGACAUCAUCCCCAUGAAGGCCCUGGCAGUGGCAUGGGUGGUGGGCAUCGCCCCCAUGAAGGCCCUGGCGGCGGCAUGGGUGGUGGCAGUGGCCAUCGUCCUCAUGAAGGCCCUGGUGGAGGAAUGGGUGCUGGUGGUGGACAUCGGCCCCAUGAAGGCCCUGGACAUGGGGGGCCCCAUGGCCACCGGCCUCAUGAUGGCCCUGGUCACCGAGGCCACGACCAUCAAGGGCCACCCCCUCAUGAGCACCGUGGCCAUGAUGGCCCUGGCCAUGGCGGAGGGGGCCACCGACGGCAUGAUGGAGGCCACAGCCAUGGAGGAGACAUGUCAAAUCGCCCUGUUUGUCGACAUUUCAUGAUGAAGGGUAACUGCCGCUAUGAGAACAACUGUCCCUUCUACCGCCCGGGUGUCAAUGGGCACCCCCUGCCCUAGGGAC